AGAUGGGCUAUAAAUCAAAUACAAACGAUGAAAAUAGGUCAUAGCAUCAUAAUGUAUCAUCCUGCCUGAAAUCUGACACUUUUACCAUUGAGUUAUGCUUUAGUUGAAAGUAAAGAAUAUACAGAGGAGCCUGCAACAAAAGUAAAGUUCCGAACGUCAUUAAGCAUUCUAGGCUGCUCCACCUCAAUGUCAUUAACUGGAACUGGAUACAGGGAGAGAGUUUUUGCAAUCAUUGGUGUCAAGGUGUAUGCUGCUGGGCUAUAUGUGAAUCAGUCAAUUUCACUAGGAUAAAACUGUUUGCAUUUAUCAAAUCUGAUUGAACAAGGAAAGAGAGGAGAGGGAAAAGUAAAUUAAGAAGCUAAUAUUGAUUGGAAACUGCAGCUCCUUUGGAAAAAUCUCUGCAAAUUGUUCUGGUGAGAGACGUGGAUGGUAAAACGUUUUGGGAUGCCUUAGAUGAAGCCAUCUCUCCAAGAAUUAAAUCGCCUACUCCAGUUGAUACCUCUCUCUUUCUACAUUUAGUACUCUGUUUCAAGGAAGGCCUCUUAAUAAGGGUACCAUUAUCUUCUUGACUUGGCCGGACUCUACCAAAAUGCUUGUUUCUGUAUCGAGUGAUGGGUUGCCUUCUGGUGUUGAUGCAACUACUGAGUCAACAAAUGUGAUAUCAGCUCUUUUUGAUGUAUUUCUGGGAAGUGAUUCAGUUUCUCCUACUCUUAAGGCUUCAGUGACCAGUGGAUUGACAGCAUUGCUGAAUGGCUGAAGUAAAGAAAACAAGGGAGAUUUUCUGCUCAGUUGUUUUAAUUCCUGACACUCAAUGUUCAUCAUAGCUUUCUACAUUAAUGAACUGCUCUAAAUCUUGUUUUGUACACUAUGAACACUUUGGAAAGAGCAUUGCUCCACUAAUCUAAUAACCAGAAGUAAGAACCCUCCACUAAAACCUCCCCUGACGUU